ACGGAGGAUCCAAGCGUUAUCCGGAUUUAUUGGGUUUAAAGGGUGCGUAGGCGGAUUAAUAAGUCAGUGUUGAAAGGCUAAAGCUUAACUUUAGAAUUGGCAUAGAUACUGUUAGUCUUGAGUGCAGAUGAAGUGGGCGGAAUGUGUCAUGUAGCGGUGAAAUGCAUAGAUAUGACGCAGAACACCGAUUGCGAAGGCAGCUCACUAAGUUGUAACUGACGCUGAGGCACGAAAGCGUGGGGAUCAAACAG
rnacentral:rRNA from 1 species